UUUUACCCGCAGUUUCUGGCUCAUCUGCUGUUCCUUUUGCUCCGAUUUAACCAUAAGAGUGUAAGAAAUCAAAUUCCAAGCGGAUAGGAGAGUUUUAAACUUUUUUUGCAGUUAGAGUUCGCUUCGGCACGACGGCGGUCGGCUCCCUUCUCCAGCGACUGGUUCUUCUUCUCCGGUCGGAGGCUAGCAGCUAAGGUUUGAGUUCGGUGUGAUACGAGAUAUUUAUACUGUCUCCCUUAAAUCUGAAACGUUCAUCACAUUUGAUCUCGACCGUUCGAUCGAGUUUAAAGAAAAAAUAAAUAUGAACCGUUCAUCGCGAUUUGAUCUUGACUAUACGAU
rnacentral:lncRNA from 1 species